CUCUUUUUAGAAAAAUCUGAACAACAAGAAAAAGAGCCUCUGUCUAUAAAAACAGACAAACCAAAACCAACUUCUAAAGGAAUAUCAGAAGUUACAGGAUCAGGAAAGAAGAAAUCUGAAAAAUCUGAAAAG